rnacentral:lncRNA from 1 species
AGUCAUAACGAGUAAAUCUUAUAAAUACUUAUGAUUGAAUAUAUGACACAUAUGUAAAAUUUAAGUAUUAAAUUCGAAUUAUGUGUCAUGUAUCUAAUGAUAAAAGUGUAUACCCUGUCAGUGUAAUGUCUAGAAGAUUAAUCCAAUUAUAAUCUAAAUUUAAAUAAAGCAUGAUUGAAAUUGCAAGAUUACUUCAGCAUAAGACUCCUUAUCCCGAAUCAUCCAACCUGCGGAAUCCAAAUCCUCGUGCCAAGCUAGCCCAGAAGAGUAUAUAUCAACAUCUGCAUUAUGCCAGAUCUUAUCAUGAAAAGGAUAGAUUGAUUCUACAAUUGCUAAUAGUGGUAAUUAUCUCUACAAUAGUAGGUACCAACACAAACUAGAUGCUAAAAAUAAUAAAUAUGGGCGUUAUUAGUUAUUACAAUAACAUGCACAACACAGAAGUUUUUUCACUUAAAAUGCUGAGAACCAUGAUGAUCUUUCCCCAACCUAUGCUCGUCAAGAUUCUAAAGACCUGGAUGAAUGCACUCAAAUUCUGCAACAAAAAGCUUCUGCAAAAGAAUGACUAGUCAUCAAUCAUGGUGAAGAAUGCCCUUUUUUUUUUUUUUUUUUUGCGUUUUUGGGUUCAUAAAUUGCAUUUUCGCCAUCCGCAUCAGCCACUUAGCUGGAACGGCCGCUCCUAGCAGUUUAACAUGAUCCAAGAAAAUCCUGCGCAAGCUGUGCUCAGCUAGCUACACUCUUGUAUUAUCAAGUGUUAAUAUCUAUAAAAUGUUAACGUUUAUGGAAAAAACAAAAUGUUCAGAAGAUCAUACCAUAAACUUGCAACCACAUUCUGAAAGAAAAGCCCAAAGCUUGGAUCUAAAUUCCAAUCUGCAUCCAGUUGCAACUUCUUUGAUGACAGAUUUAAGUCCCAAUUUUCCACACAGUUAAGGCUACUAAAGUCUGUAUCCAGACUUUCUGCAACCAAGAAAGUCCUCCCUGUUUUAUUCCCGGAGUAGGUUCAAGGUAAACGUUUUCUUGAACUGCAAAAGAUCAAAGCACCUGUAAUUCCCACAACUCUAGGACCACCACUUGAUGAUGUCCCUCCAGGGGC